rnacentral:rRNA from 1 species
GUCUGUUUGAGGGUAUAAACAGUCUAGUCUGCCCACUGAUAAAAUAAAUUUAAAGGGCCGCGGUAUCUUGACCGUGCAAAGGUAGCAUAAUCACUAGUUUUUUAAUUGGAAUCUCGUAUGAAUGGCUGGACAAAAGAAGGUCUGUCUCUAUAAAAAUUGUUGAAUUUAACUUUUAAGUGAAAAGGCUUAAAUAACUUAAAAAGACGAUAAGACCCUAUAAAGCUUGAUAUUAAUUAAGUAUUAUAUUAAAUUAUCAAAGUAAAUAAAAGUAUAUUACACAGUUUUUAUUUUAUUGGGGCGAUAGAAGUAAAAUUUUCAGUAACUGCUUAAAUUUUGUAACAAAGAUAAAUGAGUAAAGUUUAUAGAAGAUCCUAAAUAAAGAUUAAAAGGUUAAGUUACUUUAGGGAUAACAGCGUAAUUUUUUUUGAGAGUUCUUAUCGACAGAAAAGUUUGCGACCUCGAUGUUGAAUUAAAAUUUCUUUACAAUUGCAGCAGUUGUAAAAGAAGGUCUGUUCGACCUUUAAAUUUUUACGUGAUUUGAGUUCAGACCGGCGUGAG